rnacentral:rRNA from 1 species
UACGUAGGGGGCAAGCGUUGUCCGGAAUUAUUGGGCGUAAAGAGCGCGUAGGCGGUCCGAUAAGUCGGCUGUGAAAGUCAGGGGCUCAACCCUUGAAAGCCGGCCGAUACUGUCGGACUAGAGUCCGGGAGAGGCAAGUGGAAUUCCCGGUGUAGCGGUGAAAUGCGCAGAUAUCGGGAGGAACACCAAUGGCGAAGGCAGCUUGCUGGGACGGUACUGACGCUGAGGCGCGAAAGCGUGGGGAGCAAACAGG